AGAGUUUGAUCAUGGCUCAGAACGAACGCUGGCGGCGUGGAUAAGACAUGCAAGUCGAACGGGACUUAAUCUGUAGCAAUACAGGUUAAGUUUAGUGGCGAACGGGUGCGUAACACGUGGGCAAUCUGCCGAGAAGUGGGGGAUAGCUCGCCGAAAGGCGAAUUAAUACCGCAUAUGAUCAGGGACGACAUCUUCCCAACAUCAAAGCCGGGGUAACCUGGCGCUUCUUGAUGAGCCCGCGGCCUAUCAGCUAGUUGGUGAGGUAACGGCUCACCAAGGCUAUGACGGGUAGCUGGUCUGAGAGGACGACCAGUCACACUGGAACUGAGACACGGUCCAGACACCUACGGGUGGCAGCAGUCGAGAAUUUUUCUCAAUGGGGGAAACCCUGAAGGAGCGACGCCGCGUGGAGGAUGAAGGCUUUCGGGUUGUAAACUCCUGUCAUUUGAGAACAUGUGUGGUGAAGUAACUACUCACCACUUGAUAGUAUCAGAAGAGGAAGAGACGGCUAACUCUGUGCCAGCAGCCGCGGUAAUACAGAGGUCUCAAGCGUUGUUCGGAUUCAUUGGGCGUAAAGGGUGCGUAGGUGGCGGGGUAAGUCAGGUGUGAAAUUUCGGAGCUCAACUCCGAAACUGCAUUUGAUACUGCCUUGCUUGAGGACUGGAGAGGAGACUGGAAUUCACGGUGUAGCAGUGAAAUGCGUAGAGAUCGUGAGGAAGACAGUGGCGAAGGGGGUCUCUGGACAGUUCCUGACACUGAGGCACGAAGGCCAGGGGAGCAAACGGGAUUAGAUACCCUAGUAGUCC
rnacentral:rRNA from 1 species